CUCUCUCAGUCCUCCUUCAGCCGUGAGUGAGGGUGUACGUCGCCGCUGGACCUCUCAUAUCUAUGGCUGGGACACACGCAUUAGGGCCACGUAACCCCGAAAAUGGACAGACCGUGUGAGUGAGGGAAGGAAACCAACAAAACCCUGAGAAAACCGGCGCCGCGGAGGCCAUAGCAGCGCCAGGGGGAAGGAUACGUGGUUACCUGGGCCACGGUGACACCUGCCCCCCCUCCCCCCCCUCACCUGUCCGGGGUCGCUAGUAAGGGUCACACUCCCCCCCCCCCCUCCUCCCUUUACCACGUGGCACCCUACAGCUGUUAGUGCCAGAGUGCCUCGUGCCAUGACCUGCCCCUCCCCCGCCGCCCGGCCUGUGCACCUGUCAUGACCACCAGGGGGUGUAAUCACUGAGGAGGAGGAGGAGGAGGAGGAGAAGGAGGAGGAAGAAUAAGAGAAAAAAGAAGGAGAAAGGAGAGAGGAGGAGAAGGAGGAAAUAGAUCAGAACAAGAAGAAACAAAGAAAAAGAAAGAGAAGGAGAAACACAGCUACCAACACCACCACAACUACUACUACCACUACUACUACCACUACCACUCCACUACUACCAGGCAAGAUGGAGCUGCUCAAGAGGCUGUGCUCGGCCCUGUUCUAUGGGGUCUGCUCCUUCCUCAUCAUGGUCAUUAACAAGAUGAUUCUCACCACCUACAAGUUUCCAUCUUUCCAGUUCGUUGCGUUGGGACAGAUGUCGGCCACAGUGCUGGUGUUGUUCACGGCCAAGAAGCUUCAUGUGGUGGACUACCCCAGCUUCUCCCUGGAAAUCAUCCCCAAGAUCUGGCCGCUGCCGCUCCUCUACGUGGGGAACCUCAUCUUUGGUCUGGGCGGCACCAAGAGACUCAGUUUGCCGAUGUUCACGGUGCUGCGUCGCUUCUCCAUCCUCUUCACCAUGAUCGGGGAGAAGCUGCUGCUGGGAGUGAACCCGCCGCUAACAGUCCAGCUGACGGUGUACAUGAUGAUCCUGGGCUCCAUCAUCGCUGCCGUGAACGACCUCUCCUUCGACAUCAUCGGCUACUUCUUUGUGCUGACCAACAAUGUGUUCACGGCGGGCACAGGCGUGUAUGUCAAGAAGAAGCUGGAGAGCAAGGAGCUGGGCAAGUACGGGCUGCUCUUCUACAACUCCCUCUUCAUGCUGCCCUUCGCCACAGUCUUCUGCUGGAUCAACGAUGACUUCCUCAAGACCUGGGAGUACGACGGCUGGUCUGACCCGGCGUUCGUGAGCCAGUUCCUCGUAUCCUGCUUCAUGGGUUUUGUGCUCAUGUACUCAGUGAUGCUGUGUACGCAGUUCAACUCAGCGCUCACCACCACCAUCAUCGGCUGCCUCAAAAACAUCUUCGUCACCUACCUGGGCAUGAUGAUAGGGGGGGACUACGUCUUCUCCUUCUACAACUUCGUGGGACUCAACAUCAGCAUUGUGGGCAGCAUCAUCUACUCCUGGGUAACCUUCCGACAGCGUGACAAGCCUCGCGCCGACCCCCUCAAGCCGCUGUCAUCCGCUGCCACCACCACGGUAUAGCACUAGUGGACUGGGUGGGGCCGCGCGGUGAGUCUAGUUCCCUCCCAUUCCCUCGCCCCAGCACCUGCAUGCCGCCAGACUUCACCCACCUUACAAGACUUACUAACGGGCUCAGGGAGGCAUCGAGUUCGCGCUGCUGGCCAUGUGUUCGUGGCUGACGGGGAAGAGACGUCGCGUGCAGCACUUGUGACACUUCCCCGUACACUGUUUAGCAUAAGGUCCUUGCAAGCCUUCCAGAAAUCCUCGGUCGCAAGUGCCUACGCAGCCAUAGAUCGACACUGUGCUGGAAACGGGUUCAGUCCAGGAGGGUGAAGUCAGAGUUCGGAAUCAUAACAGGAAGGAAAGCUGAAGAAACAAACGACGAGGGAGAGGAAGAAUAAAGAAGAGACAAGAAAGGGAAAGAAAUAUUGCAAAGAAAGUAAAGGAGGAAAAGAAAAACAGAAGAUGGAAAAACAAUAACAGUAAGAAAAGGGACAUUCCAGCAACAGGGAAAGAAAUAUAUCAAAGGAAGUAAGAGAGAAAAAGAAAAACAGAAAAUAGAAAAAUAAUAACAAUAUGAAAAGAGACAUUCUGGCAACAGGUUCAAUAUAUUGAGUGUCGAAAAAUAGAGAGCGCUGGAAAUGGGUUCUUCGGAGGUGAUACGUGAGGCAUUAUGGUUAUCUAAUUGGGCCCAUAGCUACCUACCUUACAUAUAAUAGAGACUGCUUGUGACAGGUUUUUAGUAUAUGUACCGCCGAAGCAAGUGCGAGUGACAGGUUCUAUGGAGUCUCCUUUCUAUCAAGGUGUGACUUAAGGCAUUAGGAUUACUUAACAGGGUCCAAAACUACAUUAGGGUAACUUUACGAACCUAUUGAUGAGACAGAUUUUACGGCAUGACUCGUUCUGACUUACUUGCGGCUGAGCGGUUCCGAGGCGCUCACAGAGGUAAUGGGCAUUGUUUUCACAUGCACAAGAGAGUGUGUGUACGUGGGGUGAUGUGCCGCACCCCACUGAAAGUUCACUCAUUGUACAGUCAAGAGGUGUGAGUGUGUAGAGUGACCAGUUUGGGGCUUCAUAAGGGCAUGGAAAAAGCCUCAUGAGCAGAGUUUUCAGUGUUUAUGAGAGGGUUUCAGAGCAGGGAUGUCUUGGGUUGCCUCACACACUACAUCAAGUUCUCCGCUCAUUGUACAGUCAAGAGGCAUGAGUGUAUAGAGUGACCUGUUUGGGGGCUUCGUAAGGGCAUGGAAAAAGCCUCAUUAGCAGAGUUUUCAGUGUUUGUGAGAGGGUUUCAGGUCAGGGACGUCUUGGGUUGCCUCACACACUACAUCAAGUUCUCCGCUCAUUGUACAGUCAAAAGGUGUGUGUGUGUUGAGUGAUCUGACGUUUGAGGGCUCUAGAGAUGUGUGGAAAGGCUCAUUGUUAGUGUGUUAGCCUGUGUGUAAGGGCAAGGCUGUCUUAAAUCAUCUCACACCCUACCUGACCUCAUUCACUCACUGUUGUUAAAUCGGAAGUGACCUGCUGUUGGGGGUUCUUGAGGUGUCUUAGGAAAGGUUCACUGCUACAUAGUUCAGUGUCUUCUCUAGUGUGUCUCAGGGCAGGGUUGUGUCUGGUCCCGUCCGUCACUCGUCAUGCGUCUUGGCAGUUUUGUUGUAUUUAUUUGUGUGUUUUGUUUGUUAUUUAUUGGUACAAUGGAGUUUGGUUGACGAGGUGAGGAUGUGAACCUGACCAGUAGCCACACUUCAGCCUGUCUGUCUUUAACUUUUUAGAAGGCCCGUGAUUAAAGAUUCUGCAGGAUGGUGCGAUGUAGUACUCCCAGACACUCCUUGAUCACCAGCUUCAUGUUAACUCAUUCCCAUUCAUACUGGUCAAGUCAGCACAGCCUUUCCCUGAGAGAAUGACCCUACGUUAUUGUGUGUGUGAAGGAGAGAGAAAGAGAGAGAGAGAGACAUUGUAGGGGACACUAUAGCUAUAUUCAAUCCUUGGGGACCUCAUACACAGGAUCCUCCCACAUAAAUACUGGUUGGGUCAGCACAGCCCUGCCCGGAGAGAAUGACCCUCUGUAUAUGUGCGUGAACGAGGGAGAGAGAGAGAGAGAGAGAGCCAAGAUUCUAAGGGACACUAUGACAAUAAUACCUUAAUCCUUGGGGUCUCAUACACAUGGUCCUCCCAUAUAAUUACUGGUCAAGUCAGCACAGCCCUGCCCUGAGAUAAUGACCCUACGUAUAUGUGUGUGAACAAGAGAGAAAGAGGGACAAGAUUUUAGGGGAACACUAUGACAAUAAUACCUUAAUCUUGGGCCCUCAAACACUGGUCCUCACAUAGAUACCAGUUGAGUCAGCACAGCCCUGCCCUUAGAGAAUGACCCAACAUAUAUGUGUGUGAACGAGAGUGAGAGAGGGACAAGAUUCUAGGGGACACUAUGGCUAUAUUCAAUCCUUAGGGACCUCAUUCACAGGGUCCUCACACAUAAAUACCGGUUGGGUCAGCACAGCCCUGCCCUGAGAGAAUGACCGUAUGUAUAUGUGUGUGAAUGAGAGAGAAAGAGGGACAAGAUUUUAGGGGAACACUAUGACAAUAAUCUUGGGCCCUCAAACACUGGUCAUCACACAUAGAUACCAGUUGAGUCUGCACAGCCCUGCCCUGAGAGAAUGACCGUAUGUAUAUGUGUGCGAAUGAAAGAGAAAGAGCGACAAGAUUCUAGGGGAACACUAUGACAAUAAUACCUUAAUCUUGGGAGCUCAAACACAGGGUCAUCAUAUAUAAAUACUGGUUUAGUCAACACAGCCCUGCCCUGAGAGAAUGACCCAAUGUAUAUGUGUGUGAACGAAAGAGUGAGUGUGUGCCAAGAUUCUAGGGGAACACUAUGACAAUCUUGGGCUGUCAAACACUGGUCCUCCCACAUAGAUAUCAGCUGAGUCUACACAGCCCUGCCCUGAGAGAAUGACCCUUCGUAUAUGUGUGUGAACGAGAGAGAGAGAGAGAGUGUGCCAAGAUUCUAGGAGAACACUAUGACAAUAAUACCUUAAUCUUGGGCCGUCAAACACUGGUCCUCCCACAUAGAUAUCAGUUGAGUCUACACAGCCCUGCCCCGAGAGAAUGACCCAACGUAUAUGUGUGUGAACGAGAGUGAGAGAGGGACAAGAUUCUAGGAGAACACUAUGACAAUAAUAUCUUAAUCUUGGGACCUCAAACACUGGUCCUCCCACAUAGAUACCAGUUGAGUCUGCACAGCCUUGCCCUAAGAUAAUGACCCUACGUAUAUGUGCUAGAACGAGGGGGAGAGCGCGCCAAGAUUCUAGGGGACACUAUGACAAUAAUACCUUAAUCUUGGGACCUCAAACACAAGGUCAUCACACAUAUAAACUGAUAAUAGAGUCUUUUGCCUCACUCUGCUACAUUGUCUAUAAGGAGUGUCCAUCAAAGCCAUAUAACCAGUGCCCCUGAAGCUCCUAAUCUGGCUCUGGUGAACAUGUGAGAGAGAGAGAGAGAGAGAGAGAGAGAGAGAAUAGUGGAAAGAGAGAUUAUAAACAGUUGUGAUAAUUUUAAUGGGCACCGAUGUUGACUUGCAUAGUAGGUGGGUUAGUCGGUCGCCGCCAAUUUUAGUUCAUAAGCCGCCAAGAGUAUUUUUAUAUUGCUCAAUUCAAUGUCUGGAAUGGAGCUUUUUAGUUGUAUGUGUGUGUGUAUGUAUGUGUCUCUGUGUGUGUGUAUGUGUUAAAGAGAGAAAGUGCGAGCGAGUGUUGAGGGCAGUUUUCGUGGUCUGCUCUGAGAUCAAAACUGUUUGUGUGUCCAUCUAACUAUCUAUCUAUUUAUUCUGGUAUGUGUUGCAGCAGCUUUCUCCUUUCCAUCUUCUCAGGACUUUACAGUUGUGCAUUUCUGUGGUGUGAAUGGCAAGGAUGUUUAUACUUACUAAUAGGUUAAUUUUGGGGUCUAUUUAUGAGGGAGUGUGAGUGUGAAGUCUGGUGUCGUAUCGUGUGUGUUAUCUCAUUCACAGCACAGCACAGGGUGGAUUUUUUUUAUACUGUUGAUGGUUUUGUGUCUUCUUGAUCAAUCGUUGAUGGUUAACAAGCCACAUUUUUUAUCAGUACAAGCUUGUUGAGUUGAGCAGGACAUAUUCAACCUCAAAAAACAAGCUGAUUCCCACAUUUGAAUACCUUAACAAUUUCCCUUAUGUAAUUCUGUUGCCAAAUAAGCUGUAAUUUUCAUCAGUACAAGCUUGAAAGUUGAACAGGAUAUAACCCAACCACAAAAAACAAGCUUCUUAUACUUAUUCCCACAUUUGAAUACCUUAACAACUUCCCUUAUAUAAUUUACUUCCCAAUCUUUUAUAUUUCACAUGAUAAGGAAAGUAUUGUCUACCUACACCCACUCACACAAGCACCGUCUGUCUUGUCCUGUGAUGAGAGAGUGAUCAUGGCCUCCAGUGGCAUUGGAGUUGAAAUUUACACUUGUUUGUCAUCACCUGUGUUGUACUGUAUUAUCCUGGGUGCAGAGUUGUGAUAUAUAUGCAAUGAGGAGUGUAUGGGUGUGGACUUCAUUCUAGGUGGUCAGGGAGAGAGAGAGGACUAGGGGGAACAUGGCAAAAGCUGAUAGUAACCUUAUUUGUCAUCCCCUAUGUUGUUGUUGUACUGUUUUAUCCUGGGUGCAGAGUUGUGUUAUAUAUGCACCUAGGAGAGUAGGGUGUGUGCUUCAUUCUAAGUGGUCAGGGAGAGAGGGAGAGAGAACAUGGCAAGAGGUGAUUGUAACUCUGCCCAUUGUGAUAGUGUAGUGGGUGAUCUGACGUCCCCAGUGUACUACUUUGUCAGGGAUCAUAUUGUGGGCAGUCUUGCUUUACCAGUGCAGCUCCUUUCCUCAAGUAUACAAUUCCCAUUCAUAAGUUCCAUGUGCAUUGAUGAGAUCCAUUCUGAAACUCCAUUUACUUCAAGGAGCAUCAAGACAACACACUAACUAGGUUCUGUUUCUAGGCAACUUAUAUUAGAUGUGGUUUUUCAGUUCCAUUCAACUAUAUAGUUCUGUAAAUGAGAGGUGAAGGAAGCCAUGCCAUAGACUACGUUCAUAACUUUAUUUAUCUCAAUGUACAUUUGUUUUUUUGUGCCAAUUAUAUCUCGUGCAAGCCUCUUAGACUGUGAGGGUGGAUGUAAGGCCGGGCAUCAAGUGGUCUGCAGGAAGGUUGUGACAGUGUCUUGUAUGGUAAUUACUAGUGGUUGGUGAGGCUGAGUGUGAAUAGUUUUGUUGAUGUAGUAGUAGUAGUAGUAGUGGUAAUAGCAUGUAUGGGUGUCAGCAAUGCAUGGGUUCCUGUAGUCUUGGUUACUCUGAAGCAUGUACUGGUUUUGUUUAUGUCUUGAUAGCAGGGGUUGAAAGGGGACAGUCAGGGUACACAGCAUUUGUAGAAUAGAAGAUUUUAGCAGAAUGAAACCCAAGAAUGCACUGGGCUUGUUUGUAUGUAUUGAUAGCAGUCUUGAGGCAUGGGUAAGGGGACAGUCAGGGUGCACAGAAGAGCCUUAGAAUAGACUAUAUAAGGAAUGAAAGCCAAACAUGUACUGGAUCUGUAUAUUUCUUGAUAGUGGUCUUGAUAACAUGGGUAGAUAUGUGACGUUCCUAGCACACAGCAGAGUAAAUAGCAUAGGGGAGUUUAGCCACCCCACCACAGGCCUUAUGUUGUUGCCGAAAGACCCAUAGAAACUUCAAACUGAUGAUAUGAUAGUGUUUCUGCAUGCUCUGGGUAUUCUCAGGAUCUUGAAAUACCCAGAGCACGGAGAACAGUAUUGUAUCAGCAACAGUUUGAGUUUCAUGUGGUUCUUUUGGUAGCAAUGUGGAGUCUGUGAUGGUGGUCAAACUCACCUAUUCUAUGGUUCUGAUACAUAUAGCAUGGUUAUUGUUCUCUCUCUCUCUCUCUCUCUCUCUCUCUCUCUCUCUCUCUCUCCUCAACCGAAAACCGAAGGGCCCCACAGGAUGUCACCCCACAGUAUGUUUAUAACCCCCACAGUUGGCAACCCCCCCAGUCCAUUACUAAGUUCAUCUCUAUCUUCAUCUUCUGCUUCUGCUUCUUGUUCGUUAUCUUCUCCGAGCCUUCUUUGUUUUCUUCUUCAUCUUCUUCAUCUAAUUGCUGUUCCUCUUCUUGUUCUUCUCCUCCUCCUCCCUCUUUCUUAACUUUCUUCUCAUUCUUGUUCUUGCUCUCUCUUAUCCUCAUCAAGUCUCUCCACUCCUACUCUUCACUCACACUCUCUCACUCUCUCUAAAACGUAGCACCAUCAUACGCUAACCCAUAGAAUGAAUGCUACCACACAUCAUCCUAACCCAACCUGACCUGACCUGACCUGAUGAAGCAGACACCAACUUGAACUGAGAUUUUAUAAAGUAUACUUGUACAAAUAAAAACCUAAAAUGCAA